GAUAGAAUGAAAUAGUUCAGGAUCAGUGGGAGAGCGGCCACUUUCUGAAGCGUAACUUUGCAGGAGAAAUUAGGAGGUCGCGACGCAAAAAUUGGCACAGAUCUCCGAAUUCCUGAAAUGAGGAAUCCAGAACAUUUCACCGGAACGGUCUCUUGCGUUCAGAUAGAAUGAAAUUGUUCAGGAUCGGUGGGAGAGCGGCCACUUUCUGAAGGGUAACUUUGCAGGAGAAAUUAGGAGGUCGCGACGCAAAAAACGCCACAGAUCCCAUAAUCCCUGAAACGAGGACAAAUAUCUACACUGCAGAUUCUAAAGGGAAGGAAUGUUAUACCAAAAAUUUACCAAAGCUGCCAAGAGUGAGGACACAGACACUGCAAACUGUGAACAACAGAAAGGGAAAACGGAAAACUCCGCAGAACGACAGUAGAACAGAAGGCAGUUACUGUAGCACCAAGGAUUUCUGAAAAUAAAAAGCUUCCCAAUGGAUAAAAGCAAAGGAUUUUACUUUUAGCAAUCUUAAGCACUCACGUCUCACUACGUAUUACCAGAAAAAAAAGUUAAACCGUACAGCAGUCGUUUUCAAUGCUUUGGGCCUCUAUUUUAGUCAAGACACCUAUCCCAAGUAAGGUGAAGAUUAGAACAGGAUUUAAAAGUUACUUGAGCACCCUGGUUGUUGCUGGUCAUGUAGUA